ACUAACUCAAAUAAGAACAUAUAAAACACAAAUUUUAAAUAAUAAUGUGUAAAAUGUUAAAUGACAAUAAUAAGAAGUAUCUACAAAGGAAGAAAGCUUGAAAGAGGGAAAGAAGCAUUAGAUUGUUAGACCAAAAUAUGAAAUGCGAUAUUUGUUUGCUUCUCUGGUUUGGACAGAGAUGGAGUCAAGCCGCAAGACUCCAAACACGCUCUCGAGCACAUGUGAAUAAAAAGAAAAGAAAAGGAUUAGAGAGAUAAAAAUUCUUGAUAAGGGAAGGAUAAAUUCAAAACAAUAUGCUAAUGCAAGGAGAUUUAAAACUACUGGAUACAUAUACGGAAAGAUUUAACUUGGACAAAAUGUUAUACCAAGAAUAAUCGUUGUGGCCGAACAUCGGGCUAUUCUACACAUAUAAAUACUGAGAAUACCAAUCUCUUAUGCACACUGUUACAUUAGAUGGUCUAUUCGGAAACUCACAAUACAGACAAACUAAGUCCAAGAAAAAUAUUUUAUCAAAGUUGGAAACUUAAAAAGUAUACUAACUACACUUAGCACAAGAAAAGGUCAAUGUGCCUACAUAAAAAUGGGCAUUUGGUUUUGCAAGCUUUUGACUAUAUCUUAACAGAUAAAUACUUUCUUAUUAUGUUGCGUGUAUUUAAAUACCUAGUUCACUUCUUGAACAAAAAUUAAACUCCAAAGUUUCACUAAAAUGGUAUCUACUUUGCCAACAACAUUUUUGAUAAAGCUACAGUAAUCACAAAAUUAUUCCGUCACUAAUUACUAGGUCUUGAUCAUAGCGUGAAAAACAUAUUUCAAAUCUCCGCAAAUAACAAAAUAAGAUCACACGACAACAACAAAAUAUCCAAUAGAGCCCUAGAAAAAAUAAAUAAUUCAUACAAAGACGAGUAUGCAGCAAUCUUACUAAAAUAAGAACAAAGCAGGGAGGGAGAGAACCAAAUAAAUAACUUUAAUCACAACACAAGAACUUACAUAUUGGACAAGUUAAUCAACAAACUCCUCUAAAUAACAUUAAUUCUUGUCAACCAUUUUUCUGGAGUUAAAAGCUCUAACUUAUUUACCUUAGUUUGAGAGCCUAAACCAGUGUCAUUAUUUAAGCUAAUUACCCAUGAAAACAAGAUGGUACUUGCUUAGCCAUAGAAAAAGCUGUUCAAACUAGUUAAAAACUACCUUCACAUUGACUAUUCAAUCAAAUUAGAUUCAUAGUUUUUUUCUUAAAAAAAAACUUCAAAAAAUGGAGAGCUGCCAAAAAGUUUCAGAACAUAUAUUCAUGACAUGAAAAAGGAUCAACCUAUCAAUACAACAAAAGGCAUAGAAAUCGAACAGGACCGAAAGAGGGUAUGAAUAACCACAAAAUGAUCAUCCUAUCAUUACUUAUUCAAGAUAUAAAGAUCAAAAGAAACAUUCAUAACAUGGCAUAUGAUCAAUAGAGAAAAAUUCUGCAGCGAAGGUGUAUAGUAAACUGAUGUGUCCUAAUCCUUUAAAAAUUCCUUUCCAUAACAAAAAGAGGUUGUCGGGAUCAUGCUAACAUACAAACUAAGCAUAUACAUAGCUAAUUAAUUAUUAUUAUCUUAAAGCAUCUAAACCAAGAUCAAAAUAACCUUUAAUAGUCCAUUUGAACAUAUACCAAAAUAUUUAACACUUCAUGGAAUCUGUUUCGAGAUUAUUAAAGGGUUUGAAUAAUCUACUAACCUACUGUCAAGUAUGUACAACACACAACUACGCAAGAUCUAGCCCUUCAAGUUCACAUUCGUGGCCAACAAAACAAGGCGUCUAAUUCCAUAAAAAAAGCAAACCUCAUAGGUUUUUAUUUAAGACAGAUCUCACAAACACAUAAUCUGAUGCUAUAUAUAAAUAAAUGACCAGAAAAACUAUCUUUACUUUAUGUAUUCACACCCAAAAUCAAAUAGACUAAAGCGGCAAUAUCCAUACUCAACACACAGUUAAGAAUUUACAAACUACGUACAAUGUAGUCAAGAUGGGAUCGAGUUUACCUUAUGUGUGGCAGCGAUCUAAGGCUUUCUCGUCGGAGACUAAAACUCGAACUCAAACUCAGACUUGCGCCCGAACUUGGAAAGAGGGCGAGAGUAAUAGUAUACUGAUGUUUUAAUGCCAAUUUUGAUAGCUUUUUUUGGUGAUCCUUGAUGACAAAAUGGGAGCUCAAAGGUUCAUUUUAUAGCCGAAUUAGAGGGGCAUUGUAACAGCUCUCAAUGGAGGCUCCAAGAAUUCAAAUUUUGAAUUCUUGGAAAACCCUAAUCUCAG
rnacentral:lncRNA from 1 species